UCAUCCUGGGAUUAGAUACCCCACUAUGCUUAGCCCUAAACAUAGAUAAUUUUACAACAAAAUAAUUCGCCAGGGGACUACUAGCAAUAGCUUAAAACUCAAAGGACUUGGCGGUGCUUUAUAUCCCUCUAGAGGAGCCUGUUCUAUAAUCGAUAAACCCCGAUAAACCUCACCACCUUUCGCUAAUUCAGUCUAUAUACCGCCAUCUUCAGCAAACCCUCAAAAGGUAGAACAGUAAGCACAAUCAUUUUACAUAAAAAAGUUAGGUCAAGGUGUAACUUAUGAGGUGGGAAGAAAUGGGCUACAUUUUCUACCCAAGAACAUUUCACGAAUGUUUUUAUGAAAUUAAAAACUGAAGGAGGAUUUAGUAGUAAAUUAAGAAU
rnacentral:rRNA from 1 species